UACGUAGGGGGCAAGCGUUGUCCGGAUUUAUUAGGCGUAAAGAGCGUGUAGGCGGUUUGGUAGGUCCGCUGUGAAAACUCGAGGCUCAACCUCGAGACGCCGGUGGAAACCAUCAGGCUAGAGUCCGGAAGAGGAGAGUGGAAUUCCUGGUGUAGCGGUGAAAUGCGCAGAUAUCAGGAAGAACACCCGUGGCUAAGGCGGCUCUCUAGUACGGUACUGACGCUGAGACGCGAAAGCGUGGGGAGCGAACAGG
rnacentral:rRNA from 1 species